GAUGAACGCUGGCGGCGUGCUUAACACAUGCAAGUCGAGCGAGUGAGUUCUUCGGAACGAUCUAGCGGCGGACGGGUGAGUAACACGUGGGCAACCUGCCUCAUAGAGGGGAAUAGCCUCCCGAAAGGGAGAUUAAUACCGCAUAAAAUUAUCGAGUGGCAUCACAUGAUAAUCAAAGGAGUAAUCCGCUAUGAGAUGGGCCCGCGGCGCAUUAGCUAGUUGGUGAGGUAACGGCUCACCAAGGCGACGAUGCGUAGCCGACCUGAGAGGGUGAUCGGCCACAGUGGGACUGAGCCACGGCCCAGACUCCUACGGGAGGCAGCAGUGGGGAAUAUUGCACAAUGGGGGAAACCCUGAUGCAGCCGCGCCGCGUGAGUGAUGAAGGUCUUCGGAUUGUAAAGCUCUGUCUUUGGGGACGAUAAUGACGGUACCCAAGGAGGAAGCCACGGCUAACUACGUGCCAGCAGCCGCCGUAA
rnacentral:rRNA from 1 species